ensembl:snRNA U6 U6 spliceosomal RNA
GUACUCACUUUGGCAGCACAUAUACUAAAAUUGGAAUGAUACAGAGAAUAUUAGCAUGGCCCUGUGCAAGGAUGACAUGCAAAUUCGUGAAGCAUUCCAUAUUUUU